GUUAUUCUGCAGAUCUAGUGCGGUGGUGCCCGCUCCUUCCUACGAUCAAGUGAACUUUUGAAAACACACCCAGCAUACUUUCGCGGCCCGUCUCUCUCACUUUUUUCUCUCCCACAGGCACUCGCGAGCGCUACCUACCACGUUAAUUUGGGCGGGGGGGGGAGGUGCGCGCGCGCGUGUGUGCAGCCUCCUCCAAUCACUUCGCAGGAACUGAAACAUGCCUUACCUCAGAGCAGUCAAUUACCAAAGCUACCCGAGAUCAUCAAUCACGGGGGAAUGCUUCAAGUUAAGGGGGAGGAGCAAUGGUCAAACUAUUGAUUGCUGCAGUUUUGUACUCUCUUCCCCUCCCUCCUGCGCGCGCGCGCUCUCUCUCUCCCCGCACAUAAAAUCUAAACCAGACUAUCCUGGUAAUAGUGGGAUUUAUCAAUGAUUAUGUAUCUACUUGUGAAUGUUACGGCCUCGUACAUACUUGCUUUUAAAAGCGGCGGCGGAGGCAGCCACGCAUUUAGACUGGAUUCCGGCGAGAAAAAGAGAGUGGGAGAGGGACAGGACGGGACAGAGACCGUUCUCAGGGACAGGUGACGGAAAAGAAAGUUGGGGAGGAAAGGCGAUAUCCGCCAAAGGCACGGGAGGGAGGAGCGGCUCUAGAAAUGCGGCCAGUCUUCUCUGGGCGAGGGAACGAGCUCCGAGGUCAACGGAGCUCUCCAAAAUGAUGAAUGAUUACCUGUGAUGAUGAUAGUGAUUACCGGACCAAUUAAACAGUUUGAUUAAAUGAGCCAUCAUAACAGUGCUGUCUGCGGGAAAUCAGCCCCCGCUUAUAAAGAAAGAUAGAGCAGGGAGAGGCUGACGAACGCCACUGGGCACGGCUUCGCUUCCCCGGAGCGCUUAGCCUGACAAGCUCGCAGCCUGGGCGCAGCCCCGAGCUGGCAGCCUUGGAGCUGGAAAAGUACUGCCGAGACUUUUGAGCCCGACUUGGGCGCUCUUUGGAAGCGCCGAAGAGCCACCUGGGGGGGGAGAGGGGGGGUCUGCUUUUGCUUGUUCUACCCCCUUCUCCCCUCCCCACUUUUCUUCUAGAAGACCUCUUCCAAGAUCAAAGCAAUUCUUAGGAGCAGCCGCUACCCUCUGUGGCUGAUUUGCCCGGAUCUGUGCAGAAAGAUACCUGCAAAAAGAAGCUGUGUGGAUUUUAAUUUAUUCCACCGACUCUCUUCACCGACCUAUGCUCAGAUCGUUUCCUCAUGCUCGGUGCGUCCAAAAAGUCCCCAGAAAUCUAAAGAAUUGAGAACCGGGCCAAGUGAAACGGCGGGAAAAGGAGCCGCUGAUGUUGGCCGGAGCUUUCUUUAUCCCCCCCCCCGCCCCCCGCCCCGUUUUUUUCUUUGGUGACAAAGAAAAAAAUAGAUUUAUCAGUCCCUGGGAAGUGGGACGGUGAUAGCCACAAACGCCCUCUUUUUUCCUUUCAAAACUUUAUGGCUUGUUGACUGGGGGAACGGGGAGGCUGCAGAACGGCUCUCCUGUGAAUAUAAAAAUAAACUAAACAGUGACAGAGGCGACAGGCCGAAUGAAUCAAACGAAGGGCAAUGAAAAAACAGCCGCUCCAAAUUUUAUCCCAUUUUCAGUCCUGCUUUUAGAGCAGAGGGGAAACCUGGUUCCAAACCUCCCUCCCUCCCCUAAAAACGACGGAGCAUUUAACAAUUAUGCCUUAAUCGGCUGGCAGGUUGGCCACAAAUGAUGCCAUUAAACAUCAAAGACAUGCUUGGGACUUUAUCUUUUAGCCCUAAGAGGAUUAAUUUCUGUAAUUAGAGGGGGGGAAAUAUGUACAUAAAUAAGUAUCGCUCUCCCCAUCUUUUCCUCUUGAUCUUAUGGAUUCUUAUCGGUGGUGAUGGAGGGGUUCUUCAACUUUGGCUGCCUCUUUAUUUCGCGAAACGGCGGAAGAGGGAUUUGGGAUGCCAAGCCUCCCGUCUCCGCGCCCAGGAACCCGCCCGGAGGACCGGAUCUCCGCUCCGAGCGCCCGACGAGCGGUGCGGACAGAUGUGGGAAUGGGGCUGUUUUCUUCCCGAGGAGCGGAGGGAGAGGUGAAUUUGGGCGGGUCAGCUCAGUUUGCCUUUGUUGCGCUUCCCUGCCUCCCUCUCCCCAAGCUCAAGGCAGAGCUUCAUUCCCCCCUCCCCGUAAAAUCUGCCUGACCUUGAUUCUAACCUGUAUGAAUACCUCGUUUACCUAAUGACUUUGUGUCAGGCAGGCAGCAGGUCACUUUCCUUUUUAACCUUUCCCAUUGCUGCAGUAAGCAUUCUGGGCGAUAAUGAAUGGCUCUUGGAAUAAUCGAUGCACAUUUUAUGAGCCCUGACAAACUCAAGAGAUGGACACCUCGUUUCAGGCACGCGGCCUCGCCUUCUCCGAGAGGCUUCCUCGCAUCCGCUGAGAAACGCUUCUCCCAGCGGGCAGCACAACCGCUCCCUAAACUUCCCUUGUUCAGGGGCGUCCGCAGGUAUGGUUAAAAAAAAAAAAAAGCCAGGUCGGUGCCCAGGACAGUGUGAUGCACACAAAAACAGACAGAGCUUCGAUCGUACCUUUGUGGGCACCAUCUUGACUUUUUUGACCACACUUGUGGACAACUCUGUAAUGGUAAAGUUUCCUUGAGUCCAGAUCGACUCUUGGUGAUUUCAGAUGCCCAUCGUUUGCUUGUUCCAUCCAGAAUGAGUUUGCCAUUCCGUUCUUUCAGGACGCCUUUUCGACAUACAGUCCUGGCAUUUCCUGGUGGUCUCCCAUCCAAAUACUAACCAGGUAUAAUCAUGCUUAGUGUGGGCUAAAGUGAGUUUUUAGCCCUGGCAAUAUUGCUGCUAAGGAUAGGAAAUCAGCCAAGGGGUCUGUAGUGCUGGUUGAACAAACCAAACUGAAUAAUGCAGAGAGCAGAUCUGAAAGUAAAGGCUUGGGUGACAGAGAUUUGUAACUAUUAGUAUUAAGGAAGUACUAAUAUUGGUAUUAAUGAAUAUUAGUGCUUAUAAGUAUGAGUAUUAGUAUUAAUAGAGGGGUUUCCCUGAACAGAAAUUCCUCGAGAGGGAUUUGACAGGAUUCCGACUAGCCCUUGCCUGCCUCAUUUCCUUUCUAAAACAAGGCGCCACGAAAUCAGUUAUCCAUUUGAGCCAGGCGUCUCCCGCCAGCCUACCAUCUUUCCCCAGGCACUCCGUCCCUGUCCCUUUAGUUAGUUACGCAGCGAUUAAAGUACGAAGUCCCCCCCCCCCCGCCCAACCCUCCAGGAAGGCAAAGGUGGUUUCCCCCUCGUCUUUCUGAUCGCGGGAUCGUGUCCUCAAAUAAACGCGGUGGGGUGAGAGGGCAGGAAGGGGUGCCUGGAGUGAUGAUGGCACUGGAGCGGGAAAAGAAAUCCUGGAUAGCCUGUCUCUUUCUUAAAACGAGCUGUAGUAAGUUCCUUUUUUCCAACCAUUUAGCUUUCAUUUGGUCUGUUAACUCGCUCCCAGUUCAGGAGGAAUGAAGAAACUUGAUCCUAUAACUAUGGCAAACAGAAAUGGUGGGGGGGGGGCGGAGUUCCCCUUAACCACAUUUACUCUUGCAAACAAAACAAGCCAACAGCUCUGGUGAAUGUCUGGAAGCUCUCAGACUUGCUGCUAUCUGCUGGUGUUAGUCAGAACUGAGAAUAGUUGCAACCCUGUUACCCUUAUGGAAUAAUUAAUAGAGAUUCAAACUUAAAAAAAAACACCUAUAACCAUAUGUUUCAUUUUCUUUCACAGUUAAAUUAAUCAUUGCUUUUUUUUUUCUCCUCCUUAAGAUGGUUCUGCCCUAAAGUUUCAACCUAAUAUUUUCUUUGGCACCAAUCCUUACAGAAGAGCAGUGCUGGAGGUGGGGUUGGAGAGAUUACAAGAUCUUGUGAUGGGUUUACAAAAGUAUUCCUACAUUCCUUAAUAGAAAGUUUAGAGGUAGGGAAUUGCUAAAGGCUGGAACGAUGUAUAUUAUUCAGUAGACUCACAGGCUAAAUGGAAAAGAGAGAUUUUGCUUCCUUGCUUCCUUCCUCCCUCUUUCUCUCUCCCUCUCCCUCUCUUUUUUUUUGUGUGUGUGAAAGUAUCCUGCAUUAUGGGCUGCACUACCAUCAACAAUGAGGAAGCAGAUUUGGUAGAAGAUCAGAAAAAGGAAGAAAAUUGUCAGUAAUUUAUAUUUAUAUAUUUGUGGCUUGUAAUGUGGGAGUUAUUUACAGUAAAUGAGAAUUAGUUUAGUAGUACUUGCAUGUGAUCAAAUUGUUAAUCUCUUCAUGAGCAAUAUAGCUCACAGUAAACCUAUUCAGUCCCACAGUUUAAGAGUCUGAAGAGCCUGAGAGGAGGCAUUCUCUUGUCUUAUAUGUCCCAUGUUUCACUUUUGUCUGGAAUACAGGCCAAGACAAAUUCUUCCUGAGAAGCAUGAAAAGAAAUGUGAUUUGCACAUGGAGCUAGAGCUCAUGUAACGGGAUUCUGCGGAGUUCUUAGGCCAUUGGUGUGCUUGGCCAAUGGUUAUCCAGGAAGUGGGCUGAGAGAAGACCUGAUUAUAACUCAGCUUCUCUCAUAGGCCAAGAAGUUAUUUAAACACGUAAGACCUUUAGAAGCUUGAGUAACUAAGCUAUUAUAAGUUUAACACUGCCUGAGAUCAUAUAAGAUAUAUGUAAUAAAAUAAACUUUUCUAUGUUUGAAUGCUAAUGAUUAAACAUUUAUAGAAAACA